GCCCGAGGACACCGUGCAGAACCGGGUGUCACUUGAGAAGGUGCUUGGCAUCACAGCCCAGAAUAGCAGUGGUCUAACCUGUGACCCUGGCACAGGCCAUGUGGCCUACCUUGCAGGGUAAGUACAUGAUGGGCUUGACAUCUCAUCAUUGCAAGGG
rnacentral:lncRNA from 1 species